GGGGAAUAUUGGACAAUGGGCGCAAGCCUGAUCCAGCCAUGCCGCGUGAGUGACGAAGGCCUUAGGGUUGUAAAGCUCUUUUGGCGGGGACGAUAAUGACGGUACCCGCAGAAUAAGCUCCGGCUAACUUCGUGCCAGCAGCCGCGGUAAUACGAAGGGAGCUAGCGUUGUUCGGAAUCACUGGGCGUAAAGCGCACGUAGGCGGAUCGUUAAGUCGGGGGUGAAAUCCCGAGGCUCAACCUCGGAACUGCCUUCGAUACUGGCGAUCUUGAGUUCGGGAGAGGCGGGUGGAAUUCCUAGUGUAGAGGUGAAAUUCGUAGAUAUUAGGAAGAACACCGGUGGCGAAGGCGGCCCACUGGCCCGAUACUGACGCUGAGGUGCGAAAGCGUGGGGAGCAAAC
rnacentral:rRNA from 1 species